UCCCCUUUUAUAGAUACGCCUUGGUGCAUAUAUUAUUUGUAUUGAAAAUUAAAACACCAUACAAAGCACUAGUUCGACUCGCUGAUUAUCGAAAAGGCGUACAAAGAUUUAUUAAUGCAGGUCCCCAAGAAUUGGCAAUAAUUUUAUCUGGUGGUGGUUUAUAUACUGCUACAUUGAAGCUGCUAACUGGCCUCGGAUUAUCACCUCUUCCCAAUGGGUACGCCAUAUUACCAAGGAAAGCACCAAUGAAGCAUGGGCGUGGUUACAAGAAAUUGAAAUGAUUUGUCACUGUUACAAAAACUCAUUGAUGAUUAUGAGUUAGAUAAUUCUACUAGCGCACGUAAAUAUAUAGUAAACAAGCUGCUAAGUCUCAACACUUUUUUACCGCAAUGGCUAUAUAAUGACGACAAGUUGGCAAAUUGUCCAGAGCUGUUGUAUUUGUUCGUCAAACAGAAUUCCUUAAUUGAAGCUGCCGAGUUACCACAUGCACUGUUGGAAGCUAGAAGCAAAUAUUUCAGUUUUAAACAUACAAUUGCGAUUAUAAACCAGGAAAUUGCCAGUAAAUACAUUAGAUCUUUUGUUGCAUGGAUUGAAAUUAAAUGCUAAUUGAGAUAUCGGGUAUAAGCAGAUUUAUAGGACGUCAUACAGACUUAUAUUGAUACCGCACAGCGCGCAGGAGAGGAUAAAAUCCUAAUGGAUG